rnacentral:rRNA from 1 species
UACGUAGGGGGCGAGCGUUGUCCGGAAUUAUUGGGCGUAAAGAGCGUGUAGGCGGCUCGGUAAGUCCGUUCUGAAAGUCCAGGGCUCAACCCUGGGAUGCGGAUGGAUACUGUCGGGCUCGAGUCCGGAAGAGGCGAGUGGAAUUCCCGGUGUAGCGGUGAAAUGCGCAGAUAUCGGGAGGAACACCAAUGGCGAAGGCAGCUCGCUGGGACGUGACUGACGCUGAGACGCGAAAGCGUGGGGAGCAAACAGG